rnacentral:rRNA from 1 species
AGAGUUUGAUCCUGGCUCAGGAUGAACGCUAAGGCCUAACACAUGCAAGUCGAGGGGUAACACAUGCAGUCGAGCGGUAGGGGCCUCGGCCCCCGAGAGCGGCGCACGGGUGCGUAACGCGUAUGCAACCUGCCCUACACAGGGGAAUAGCCCGUCGAAAGGCGGAUUAAUGCCCCAUGGUUCCCGUCUGGGGCAUCCCGGGCGGGGUAAAGAGCUAUCGGUGUAGGAUGGGCAUGCGUGCCAUUAGCUGGACGGUGGGGUAACGGCCCACCGUGGCGACGAUGGCUAGGGGUUCUGAGAGGAAGGCCCCCCACACUGGGACUGAGACACGGCCCAGACUCCUACGGGAGGCAGCAGUGAGGAAUAUUGGUCAAUGGGCGGAAGCCUGAACCAGCCAUGCCGCGUGCGGGACGAAGGCGCUACGCGUCGUAAACCGCUUUUGUCCGGGGGUAACCGUGGGGACGCGUCCCCACCUGCAAGUACCGGACGAAUAAGGGUCGGCUAACUCCGUGCCAGCAGCCGCGGUAAUACGGAGGACCCGAGCGUUAUCCGGAUUCAUUGGGUUUAAAGGGUGCGCAGGCGGCCCGGUAAGUCAGCGGUGAAAGGCCCACGCUCCACGUGGGAGCUGCCGUUGAUACUGCCGGGCUGGAAUGUCAGCGAGGCGGGCGGAAUGCGCGGUGUAGCGGUGAAAUGCAUAGAUAUCGCGCAGAACGCCGAUUGGGGAGCCAGCUCGCCAGCUGACCAUUGACGCUGAGGCACGAAAGCGUGGGGGAUCGAACAGGAUUAGAUACCCUGUAGUCCACGCCGUAAACGAUGAUGGCUCGCUCUUGGCCCGCAGGGGUCAUGGGCUUAGCGAAAGCGUUAAGCCAUCCACCUGGGGAGUACGCCGGCAACGGUGAAACUCAAAGGAAUUGACGGGGGCCCGCACAAGCGGAGGAACAUGUGGUUUAAUUCGAUGAUACGCGAGGA